UCGCGCGUCGCGGCUCGCGCCUCAGUCGCCGUCAAUAAAUAAGGGUGCGACGAUUAUGAGGAGACUCUUAAAUACCAAAUUCACUACCUCAAACAAUAGGUGCUACGAUUAUUAGAGUAAAUACGUAGUGUGAAGCUGUGGGAACAGUUCAUGACGCCCUGCUGUGCUGUGCUGUGCUGUGCUGAGCUGAGCUGAGCUGUGCUGUGCUGUGCUGAGCUGGUGGGGCGAAGAGGGGAAAAUCAAAAAAUAAACCAGCAAGAAAGUGUGUGUGCGUGGGACCAUGUAGCGGUGUGGACAGUUCUCCCUCCCCUUUUAUUAUUGUAAUGUCUGAACUGGCACAUUACACAAUUAACAUGUCUUAUCUGGACAGGUGUUUGCGACAACUGUGACCAAACAUUUUUUUAAAGACUUAUUACUGGAACGGCUCUUGUGCUCCAUGAGUUGAUUGUACUUUUAUAGCUGAUGCCAAGAAGGAUUUAGUAGUUCAUUAUUUUGAAGUAUUGGAACAUGAUAAGUGAGUGAAGUAUAAUUUGUGGUCGGAGUGUACUCAUUUGGACCUUAGAGACUUGCAAAACAGCAUUCAAGAUGAUGAAUACUGCUCUUUACCUAUCGCACAAUGUAGAAGAGCGUAAAUGAUGCUAUUGAAAAAAAAAAAAACAUAAAGAGUAAACAUACCAGGGAAAAGGUAGCAGAUGGACUCGGUCAUUUGAAUCAAUUGCAACUGAGAACAUGCUGCUCACUGGAAAAAUAAUAUAUAUAUUAUUUGCUCCUAUGUGUGUUCUUGUAGUAGAGUGCAAUUUACGUAAUAAGUUUUAUUUCUUGCACUUAUACGUUUAUGGUAAAAUUAAAAAAAAAGUAUUACUGACCUAAAAAUAUAUUUUUUGCAUGAGUCAAGGAUUGAACCAAGAACAGGAAUAAAUCUGUAAAUUGGUGAUUAUUUUGAUAUUUGAAUAUAUAUUUCUUUUAAUUUCUAGCUAAAUAGAUUUUCAAGAUGGUGGAUACCAGAGUAGUAAGUACUACUAUUAUAUUCUAAACUAAUAAUCAACAAUAAACUAAUAUGGUGGCACUGAUCUCUAGCAGAUGAAAAUAAAAUGGCAGAGCCAUGAUGGCAUACUGGUUAUAAUGUCUGCUGUGGCAUUAGAGGUGGGAGGUCAGUCUGCUGGUAGUUAAUGGAAGCAGGGGCACAACAACUAAAUUUCCAAAGGGGGGGCGGGGGCAAUAUACCUUUUUAUAAAGAAUCAUCGAUCCCCCCUAUUGAAGCAGGUGGUGAUGGGGUCCUCCCCCGGGAAAAUUUGUAUUUCAAGGUGGAAAAUGGUGCUAUUUAAGCAGUUUUAUUAUCUAAAAAUUGAUUACACAGCACUUUCUUUGCCCCCGUUUGCCCCCACUUCAAGGUUUCAGAAGGGGGGGGGGGGUGGCAAAUACCCUUGCCCCCUCCUGUUGUGCCCCUGAAUGGAAGAAUGAUCCUUCACCAUUUAUUUUGCCCUCACCAGGUUUGGAGCAAGGACUCAGUUCCAUGAUGUAAGCAUGUUUUUAUUAAAUGAUUUUUUUAUCAGUUUUGCCCGUUUUUUUAUCGAAAUAAUUAUGGAUUUUCAAGAUAGUGGAUGGAUGUAAGCACUUUUUAAUUAAUAUUUUUUUAAACUAAAAUUACAUGUUUUUUCCCCACCGGUUAUCAAACUGAGAAUGGAAAUGGAUUAAGUAAUUAAAUAAUUAUAUUGAAAUCAAAAUGUGUAUUGUAAACUUAAAUUUGUACAGUCUUAAUAAAGGUAAUGGGUGGUUCGGUGCCGAGAUAUGGUAAUGGAACCACAAGGCCCAUAACUGCUAUUAUUACUUGGUGUGAUAAGAAACAUACUUUAAUUUUGUAUGCAAAUAAUUAAUAGAUAAAAUUACUGGAGUGAUAGAUUCCUCAGGGUCAAUUUCCGUGCUAUUACCGGUAUCAUACUUGUUAAUCUUUGUUGCAUAUUUGUUCCACGUCUUACAGAUCACAUGAAGACAUCGCGUGUUGUUUAAUUACGAACAGGUACUUGCAAUGAAACGUGCAUUGUUCAUUUGCCAUUGUUUUAGAUCAAUAGUCCAGACGUAAACGUAGGCAAACAAUUGUUACGAGAGUACGCAACGAGCAUGCAUUCGAACACACUCGUUCUCGUGCACGCACUCGACGAUAUGGAACAACACUCUCGUGACGUCACUUCCGAGAGCGAGUACGUGAGCACGCAUGUUUACCUAUUUGGAACACAGCCUUAAAUUCAUAUGGUUCUUUAGUGAUUGAUGUUGAAUACUGCUCCAUUUUAAUUUUUUUUUGUAAAUAUUAGUGAUGGAAAUUGUAUUUAUAAUUUUUUUUUUCAACUGUAUUUAUAUAGUGAGUUUGUUCCCUGGCUGUUUAUAGGCGAGAGUUUGUGAGGUUAUGUUCCCUGACGUAUAAUUUAUUUGCAUUAUAAAUUAUUAAAUAAUUAAAAUUAAUACAUUUUAAUGAUCA